CGGACGGGUGAGUAAUGUCUGGGAAACUGCCUGAUGGAGGGGGGUAACUACUGGAAACGGUAGCUAAUACCGCAUAACGUCGCAAGACCAAAGAGGGGGACCGUUCGGGCCUCUUGCCAUCGGAUGUGCCCAGAUGGGAUUAGCUAGUAGGUGGGGUAACGGCUCACCUAGGCGACGAUCCCUAGCUGGUCUGAGAGGAUGACCAGCCACACUGGAACUGAGACACGGUCCAA
rnacentral:rRNA from 1 species